rnacentral:rRNA from 1 species
GUAGUUAGCCGUGGCUUCCUCCUUAGGUACCGUCAUUAUCGUCCCUAAAGACAGAGCUUUACAAUCCGAAGACCGUCAUCACUCACGCGGCGUUGCUGCAUCAGGGUUUCCCCCAUUGUGCAAUAUUCCCCACUGCUGCCUCCCGUAGGAGUCUGGGCCGUGUCUCAGUCCCAAUGUGGCCGAUCAGCCUCUCAGCUCGGCUACCCAUCGCAGGCUUGGUGGGCUGUUAUCUCACCAACUACCUAAUGGGACGCGAACCCCUCCCUCAGCGGAUUGCUCCUUUGACCUCAUCCCGAUGCCGGGUCGUGGUCUUAUGCGGUAUUAGCACUUGUUUCCAGGUGUUAUCCCCCUCUGAAGGUCAGGUUGUUCACGCGUUACUCACCCGUUCGCCACUAAAAUUUAUCUUCCAUCCGAAAACUUCUGAUAAAUCUCCGUUCGACUUUGCAUGUGUUAGGCACGCCGCCAGCGUUCGUCCUGAGCCAGAAUCAAACUCUGA